GACGAACGCUGGCGGCGUGCUUAAUACAUGCAAGUCGAACGGAAAGGCCCUGCUUUUGUGGGUUGCUCGAGUGGCGAACGGGUGAGUAACACGCGAGUAACCUGCCCUUGACUUUGGGAUAACUUCAGGAAACUGGGGCUAAUACCGGAUAGGAGCUCCUGCUGCAUGGUGUGGGUUGGAAAGUUUCGGCGGUUGGGGAUGGACUCGCGGCUUAUCAGCUUGUUGGUGUGGUAGUGGCUUACCAAGGCUUUGACGGGUAGCCGGCCUGAGAGGGUGACCGGCCACAUUGGGACUGAGAUACGGACCAGACUCCUACGGGAGGCAGCAGGGGGGAAUAUUGCACAAUGGGCGGAAGCCUGAUGCAGCAACGCCGCGUGCGGGAUGACGGCCUUCGGGUUGUAAACCGCUUUCGCCUGUGACGAAGAGUGAGUGACGGUAAUGGGUAAAGAAGCACCGGCUAACUACGUG
rnacentral:rRNA from 1 species